UAGAGUUUGAUCCUGGCUCAGGAUGAACGCUGGCGGCGUGCCUAACACAUGCAAGUCGAGCGAACCCUUCGGGGUGAGCGGCGGACGGGUGAGUAACGCGUGGGUAACCUGCCCUGUACACACGGAUAACAUACCGAAAGGUAUGCUAAUACGAGAUAAUAUAUUUUAAUCGCAUGGUUAAGAUAUCAAAGCUCCGGCGGUACAGGAUGGACCCGCGUCUGAUUAGCUAGUUGGUGAGAUAAUGGCUCACCAAGGCGACGAUCAGUAGCCGACCUGAGAGGGUGAUCGGCCACACUGGAACUGAGACACGGUCCAGACUCCUACGGGAGGCAGCAGUGGGGAAUAUUGCACAAUGGGCGAAAGCCUGAUGCAGCAACGCCGCGUGAGCGAUGAAGGCCUUCGGGUCGUAAAGCUCUGUCCUCAAGGAAGAUAAUGACGGUACUUGAGGAGGAAGCCCCGGCUAACUACGUGCCAGCAGCCGCGGUAAUACGUAGGGGGCUAGCGUUAUCCGGAAUUACUGGGCGUAAAGGGUGCGUAGGCGGUCUUUCAAGCCAGAAGUGAAAGGCUACGGCUCAACCGUAGUAAGCUUUUGGAACUGUAAGACUUGAGUGCAGGAGAGGAGAGUGGAAUUCCUAGUGUAGCGGUGAAAUGCGUAGAUAUUAGGAGGAACACCAGUAGCGAAGGCGGCUCUCUGGACUGUAACUGACGCUGAGGCACGAAAGCGUGGGGAGCAAACAGGAUUAGAUACCCUGGUAGUCCACGCCGUAAACGAUGAGUACUAGGUGUCGGGGGUUACCCCCCUCGGUGCCGCAGCUAACGCAUUAAGUACUCCGCCUGGGAAGUACGCUCGCAAGAGUGAAACUCAAAGGAAUUGACGGGGACCCGCACAAGUAGCGGAGCAUGUGGUUUAAUUCGAAGCAACGCGAAGAACCUUACCUAAGCUUGACAUCCCAUUGACCUCUCCCUAAUCGGAGAUUUCCCUUCGGGGACAGUGGUGACAGGUGGUGCAUGGUUGUCGUCAGCUCGUGUCGUGAGAUGUUGGGUUAAGUCCCGCAACGAGCGCAACCCUUGCCUUUAGUUGCCAGCAUUAAGUUGGGCACUCUAGAGGGACUGCCGAGGAUAACUCGGAGGAAGGUGGGGAUGACGUCAAAUCAUCAUGCCCCUUAUGCUUAGGGCUACACACGUGCUACAAUGGGUGGUACAGAGGGUUGCCAAACCGUGAGGUGGAGCUAAUCCCUUAAAGCCAUUCUCAGUUCGGAUUGUAGGCUGAAACUCGCCUACAUGAAGCUGGAGUUACUAGUAAUCGCAGAUCAGAAUGCUGCGGCGAAUGCGUUCCCGGGUCUUGUACACACCGCCCGUCACACCAUGGGAGUUGGGGGCGCCCGAAGCCGGUUAGCUAACCUUUUAGGAGGCAACCGUCGAAGGUGAAACCAAUGACUGGGGUGAAGUCGUAACAAGGUAGCCGUAUCGGAAGGUGCGGCUGGAUCACCUCCUUA
rnacentral:rRNA from 1 species